UACGGAGGGUGCAAGCGUUGUCCGGAUUUAUUGGGUUUAAAGGGCGCGUAGGCGGCCCGGUAAGUCAGUGGUGAAAGCCUCCAGCUCAACUGGAGAACUGCCAUUGAUACUGCCGGGCUUGAGUACAGACGAGGUUGGCGGAAUUGAUUGUGUAGCGGUGAAAUGCAUAGAUAUCGGGAAGAACACCUAUGGCGAAGGCAGCUCUCUGGGACGGUACUGACGCUGAGACGCGAAAGCGUGGGGAGCGAACAGG
rnacentral:rRNA from 1 species